UACGUAGGUGGCAAGCGUUGUCCGGAUUUACUGGGCGUAAAGGGCGUGCAGGCGGUUUGUUAAGUGCAGGGUGAAAGCUCCCGGCUCAACUGGGAGAGGUCCUUGCAUACUGGCAAACUCGAGGGAGGCAGAGGAAAGUGGAAUUCCCGGUGUAGUGGUGUUAUGCGUAGAUAUCGGGAGGAACACCUGUGGCGAAGGCGGCUUUCUGGGCCUUACCUGACGCUGAGACGCGAAAGCGUGGGGAGCGAACCGG
rnacentral:rRNA from 1 species